UACGAAGGGAGCUAGCGUUGUUCGGAAUUACUGGGCGUAAAGGGCGCGUAGGCGGUAAAACAAGUCAGGUGUGAAAGCCCUGGGCUCAACUCAGGAACUGCGCUUGAUACUGUUUUGCUUGAAUUCGGUAGAGGUGAGUGGAAUUCCCAGUGUAGAGGUGAAAUUCGUAGAGAUUGGGAAGAACACCGGUGGCGAAGGCGGCUCACUGGACCGACAUUGACGCUGAGGCGCGAAAGCGUGGGGAGCAAACAGG
rnacentral:rRNA from 1 species